rnacentral:rRNA from 1 species
ACUCCUACGGGAGGCAGCAGUAGGGAAUCUUCCGCAAUGGACGAAAGUCUGACGGAGCAACGCCGCGUGAGCGAAGAAGGCCUUCGGGUCGUAAAGCUCUGUUGUUAGGGAAGAACAAGUAUCGGAGUAACUGCCGGUACCUUGACGGUACCUAACCAGGAAGCCACGGCUAACUACGUGCCAGCAGCCGCGGUAAU